GAAAACCGUGUGCAAUGAAAAGUGCAAGCACGGCUUGGAGAGGGGCAUGGCUGAACCUAAAAAGAUAGCAAUUACAUACAACCAAGAAUGGUUUUGUACUUUCAC
rfam:Capsicum annuum cultivar Zunla-1 chromosome 10, whole genome shotgun sequence